GUUCUACAAUCAGUUGUAGCGUUUGUUUAGACCUCACUGAUCCAACCUGCAAACAAGCAACAGUGCAAGACUGUGCAACAACACACACCAUGUGCUUUGUAUCAACAACACAAAUUACUCAGGGUGGAACGACUACUACCAGAAUAAUAAAGAAAUGUGCAGACUCCUCGCUGUGUCCAGCUGCAGACACACAGACAUACUCCUUAAACACUGGAUCUGGUCAAGUGUUUGCACAAGCCACCUGUUGUAAUGAAUCAAACAACUGCAACAAAAAUACCCCAUCACUGCCGACCGCCCCUGGACCUGGCUCCCGGCGAUGUCUGACCUGUGAUCCUCUGACAGGCCCAUGCAAUACUUCUAUAC